rnacentral:lncRNA from 1 species
AAUUCCUCCUGUGAUCUUGAAUUGGAACAUAGUAGAAGGAAUUCUUUUGAGAUGAUGUAUUAACUUGCUUCAACUAAAAAUUGGUUGUUUGUAUUGAUGUCGUAUGGUCAAAAAUUGCCUGAUGUCCAUGCCAACACCCAAUUAUUUUUUUUUAAUUUUUUUUUCUAAAAUUGAGAAAUAAAAUCCAUUCCAAGCCAGACGAGUAAUACAGGUAUUAGUGUAAUGAUGAUGUAUUUUUUUUUUUAUUU